GCAUGGAUGGCCAAGUGGUCUAAGGCGCCAGAUCUAAGCAGCGAGCUUCCUGCAAGCAAGCAGGGCUGGGCCUUCUGACAUGGAAAUCCAUGCGUGGAUUCGAAUCCUACUCCGUGCG
rfam:Ascaris lumbricoides genome assembly, scaffold: ALTE_scaffold0006467